rnacentral:tRNA from 1 species
AGGAUUGUAGUUAAUUAUAACAUUUGAUUUGCAUUCAAAAAGUAUCUUUUAGGUCAAUCUUA